rnacentral:sRNA from 1 species
CUCCCUGUCUGUUCUGGUCUCAGUGUUCUGAAGACCUGGUGUGCUGACAUUUAAUCUCCAUCCUGAGAUAUCUCAAAGGAGUAGUCGUCUGACUGGAGUGGAGUCCUCAGAGAAUGAAGGGAGUUAGAAAAAGCCAUCAAGCAGAGUGCCUUCUCCGUGAGGCUUGCUGGCUGUAGAAAGGAAAAGAUGGUGAUGGUUAAGUCAGACCUGGAUGUGACCUACCGACAGAUCUUAUUCGAACAAGUGACUGAAAUAAUUUUCCUUCCGCUAUAUAAUGGGCAUAUCUGAUCAGCGAGGAUGCUGAACUCAGGAUAAAGUGGGGAGAGACAAGGGCUUGGUCCUGAAGAGAGUGUGACUACCUCCCUUGGGCAUGACCCUGCCCAGACUCGGAGAAAAUGUUUCAAUUUGAAGGAAAGGGCUGCUAUAGCAGGCAAAUUCUGCACUACUAAGGACUCUUAAAAUCCAGUCUUCCGAACCCCAGGCCUCUUCCUAACUCCCCACAUCAAUGAGUUUGACCUUGAACUUCAGAUCCUUUCACCACAACUUCCUGAAUGCUGUGCUUACAGGGGCGUGCCUGGUUUUAGCAGGACUGAAUCUCAAGCUCGCCACCCACACGCUAGAACAAAAGGACUUGCAAGUUGCACAGCUUCUGGAAACUUCCAUACACCAGAGGGAGGUAUAGGAAAUGUUCGGUUGGCUACAGUUAGAGGCAACUACUCUGUUGCUUCCAACUUAACUUCACAGCCUCCUCAGGUAACGGAGACAAAGACUUCUGCAACCAGGCCAGGCAGAGCUCCGUUCUUACCAUUAAAGUCCCCUUUGGUCUGCUGGCCCAAGGCAGACUCAUCCGAUA